CCACCCCGCCUCACCGCGAGUACUGGUCCGGCUGGACCUUUCCUUCUGGGGAAUCUCAUGGCCUUCACUGGCUGUGGGGGGAACCAGGACUUUUACUGUGAAAAAAUUAGAAGUGUUCAAAGCAGGCCUUUGCUCGAAUACAUUAGCAUGGAAUAAUAGAAUAGGACUGCGGUUCAUUUUGUUGGUUUCUAGGACCGCCGUAAUGAUUAAUAGGGAUAGUCGGGGGCGGUCAGUAUUCAGCUGUCAGAGGUGAAAUUCUUGGAUUUGCUGAAGACUAACUACUGCGAAAGCAUUCGCCAAGGAUGUUUUCAUUAAUCAGGGAACGAAAGUUAGGGGAUCGAAGACGAUCAGAUACCGUCGUAGUCUUAACCAUAACUAUGCCGACUAGGGAUCGGACGGUGUUUCUAUUAUGACCCGUUCGGCACUUACGAGAAAUCAAAGUUUUUGGGUA
rnacentral:rRNA from 1 species